GGAUGCUCCACAUUUGUAGCUUCUUCUUCUUUUGCCAGAACUAAGAAUGCAGGAGACAAAAAUUGAAAUGCCAACCAUCUGAAAGGUAGCAACCUUAAAUCACAUUUAUAGUAAGAUAGUUGGCCUCCUGUUGUUAAAAGAAGGUUACUCUGAUCCAGCAAAGGCAGCUCAAACAAAGAAGCAGACUGCUAUAUUAAGAUCCCUCUUUUUGAUCAGGUCCUACGUGUAUGGGGGGGGGGGGACGGACUGAACGUGGGCAGUUUUCUUUUUUAGAUCCUGGCAUCUUGCACCAAGGAUUGUGUGUGGGGUUCCAGUUGCUGGGCUGCAACUUGUAGCUUGCGUUCCAAGCACCAGAUGGACAGCAUUGUGUGAAUCUAGUGCUGUCACACAUCUGCGUGAAGGCAGAUCACGAAGAGCUGUGGGGGGGCCAGUCAACAGUAGAUAAAAUAGACACUGAAAGAAUUAAAAACUGGGAACAGGCAAACUUAAUGCCAUCGUCUAGCAGAAUGUAAAGUGAAACUAAAGCUGUAGCUAGAAUGUAGCCUGCCGAGAACUAAAGAUCCCGAGUAACAUGAGUUUGGAAGCUGACUAGGGCAAAUCGUUUGCUUUUAGAAUCCAUACAAGUUGAUCCUUUGAUGCUCAAGAGAGGAGAGGCAACCCUAUUCAGGGUUGGGAGCUGAGCAAGUUAUCAAAGAGCAGUUCUGAUAUGAAAAACUUCUCCAUCUCCAGUCCUCUUCCUCCCUGCUCCACAUCUGAAGAGUUUUACUAAAAUACGGCUCCUUUCGGAAGGAGAGUAUAUGGGGAAAGCCUGCCUAUACUAGAUCUCAGUAUGAUUUUGAUGUAAGAUGGAGAAGGAGGUGCCAGAACAAGUUUCAGGAGCAUCUAGCAAUGAAAGCAAGGAAACACCUCCUCACUCACAGCUUGGGAGUUCUUUAGUAACAUUGUACAGUAGGGAAUUCCUAGCCUGCGGUGGCUCAGUGAUUCUUGGAAGCCCCAAUCUAUCAGAAAGAAGGAAGCACAGGACUAUAGAACAGGGAGAGAGAUACGAGUUUGUGGCAUGCUGCUUUUAAGUUCUGUGACUAAAGGGGAUCUAGCAAAGAAGAGAGCUAUCAUUCCUGGGUGAAGUGCUUGACAUUUUACCACUGCUCACACUAGUUCUUUUCCAGAAAUGGAAGUGUCAUAAAAAGUGUUACACCAGAAAUGGCUCUGCCACCUCUAUGGAGUGGGCAACCUUUUUCAUCUGAAGUGCCACAGUCCUUUCUGGACAAUCUAGGGGCCACAGCAGUGGAGGUUUUAACAUGUUCAUUGGUUCAGCAUUGUAAGUUAGGUGGUCACCUACAGAACGAAUUCUAUUUGAUUUGAUGUUUGUAUUCUUAUCCAGCAACAGUGUUGAGCUCAAAACAGCUCACAAUAAUCGCAGUAGCAUUAAAAAGCAACAGGCAUUGCAAUCAUUAUAAUAUCAAACAGAGUAGCAAACCAGAAUAACAAAUUCAUCAAAACAGUCAAUGCAAUUCAAUGGAGGCAUGGUAAUUCAAAAUAUUGGAAAGAGCUUCUGGGCCUUGUGCAAUAAAACAAUUCCAUCCAGGGGAACAGCUUGCCAAAACUACCAGGCAAGUUGCUAAAAGGCAAGAUGAUGAUAAAGAUAAAAAUGCAAACCUUAUUUGUUCAUAACUAUGUCAAAAUACUGUACAAAAUGUUGGACUUGGUGUAGAACAGAUCUGUUCUAUUCUACGCAUGUUCCUGAGAGGUGUAGCUUGGCAAUCGAAAGGGACUGGAGUAUUUCUGGUUUGCUUCAAGACAUGCACAAGAGGGAUAUGCCACGACUUCUGCCAAGAGGGCAGCUGUGCAUUUGUUACUUAUUUCAUUUGCAGAGCUGCCCCCUCCACUGAAGCGAAUUCGCAAGUCCUUGCAAGCAAGCAUCCUCCAUAUGUGCAUUGAAACUUCCCACACACACACUUGAAAUAGCACACUUGAUCAGGGUGUGUAACUUUCAGUAGCGGUGGAAAACUUUUAUCGUCCUCUAUUUAAAAAAACAGGAAAGGAAAGGAAAAGAUCAUUCUGGUAACUACUUGGGCACCUCCAGAUGAUGUUUACUGAAUAUUCUGAGCUCAGUGCAGGCCACCAUGGAUGCAGCACAUGAUCAGAGGUUUCUCUGGGGCAUAAGCCUCUUUUCCCCCUCCCCUGCAGCAUGUACAUUCAAGCAGUCCCAUGUGGCAGGCCUUUCUGUGGAAUUGGAGACUUGUGCUAUCUUUCCAUAUCCCUAUACAGCACCUUGUCUUUCUGAUUGGUCAAAGAAUGUGAGGGCCCUCCCCCGUAAUAGCAUAGCCCAUUCAAUUGCUUGUGUGUACAUACUGAAGGGGGAGAGAAAAUAGACUCCUGUGCUGUAGGAAUUCUUCUGUGUGCAGGUGCUGGGUCUAUGGUGGGCUGUAGUUUGAAACUACUUUCUUCCUUUGACAAUACAUCUUCAAUCUGAAACAGUUUGGGAGGAAAGAAAACCCAGAGGAGGAAAAAAAGAAAUAACUUUAAGAGCCAUUUUUGAAACUAUUCUUGUGGUUUUAAUGCACACUGUAUGGGUUUCUGUUUAUGUACAAGAUCUUAACUUAUAUGUAAUUAAAAAAACAAACUACGGGACAAAGGGGCUGUCUUGGCACUAAACAUGGUGCUUCUUGAUAUAAUAAGAAACAACAUUCUGUGAAAUAGUAUGUAUUCAUCAGUAUAUUUCAUUCCCAUAUGUGAGUUUAAAGAAAAGUGCUUCUAGCUGUGUGUAUUGUCCUAACAACAUUUUUCAACCGAGCUGGUGGUGAUGUCCCUACAAAAUGAGCGCAAAAAUGCAACUGCUGCUAGAUACGCUGCAUAAAUUAGCUGCACUUAAGCCAUGUUUUAGAAUAGUAUUUCUUAAGGCUGGGAAGCUGCUUAGGGAAGGAAAGUUCAUUCAGCCAAGGGAAGGUAUAAACUCCACUCUGAUUCCUCCCAGUGGGUGCCAGGAAACAAGCUAGUCAAAUGCCACCCUCUCCCAACCGACACAUUAUUAUUUCUAUCUAUUGGAACUAAAAGUAUGUAUAGACACUUCUGUGACUUCUGGGGACGGGUGCGACACGUUUUAUUAUGGCGAGUGUUUUUAAAACAAUUCUGCAUCACUGUUAUCUGGGGCCCUUAAAGCAUAUUGUGGCCAGUAUGUCCUUUUGGGGGGAAAUAUAUAUUUUAAAGUAUCUUUCUAGGCUGAGAAAAGCAAGCAUUGCCGAUGGAAUGGUCAGAGUUCUGUGCACAUUCCAGGGGGUACACAGAGCUCUUAUGCAAAGAGGAUUCUAUUCCAGUGAAGGGUGCUUCCGUACAUGCAUGCCUCCACGUCUAUGUCUGGAAGUACUCAUGUACAUGAAGAAUCAUCGCAGGUGAUGGUGGUGUUUUUCCUAAUCCUACUUGGGGAGAUACAAUACCUGUGACCCUUGGCACAGAGGUUUCAUUGAGCAACGGCCUUUCGCUAUAUAUACCUAAGUUCAUCAACAACCAGAAAGCAGUAGAUGAGUGCCACCUCUGAAUGGCAACCAGGAGGGGAAGGAGCCCUGUAGCUUUUGCAUGGUGUGUCUGGCGGAGGCAGCUGAGCCAUGUGGAGGAGCUCCACAUGGUUAGAAGUGCCCUGUAAGUGCCAUUGAUGACAUUGGCUCAUAGCUGUGCCUGGCACUGCUGGCCAUUCACCAGCAGCCACCUGCAUGGUGCUGUGCAAGCUACCCCUUCCCUCAACUGCCUUCAGUAGAUACCCAGAGCAUGACACCCCCGCUCGUCUUGGUCACUGGCUGCAAUUUUCACAGCUCACCACUGCCUAAAUCAAGGGUAGGAAUUGGCCCUAGCCAGCAUGGCCAACAACAUCUGUUGGAGCCACUGGUUCCCACCUGGCCUAAAUAGAUAAAUUUUGAAUAUGGGUAAUCUCAGCCAAUCAGAUGCUCAGCACAAGCAACAGGGAUGAGCAACACCUGUUAAGCCCUGCUUGUAACUUCUAGAGACAUCUAGCUGGUCUCCUGCUGGAGACAGAGCAAUAGACUCCAUGGGUUUUAGUCUGAGCCACUAAAGCAAUUGCCCUAUUCUUAGGCAGCAUGGACAGGCAGUUUUUGUCAUUGAGGAAAGCUUAUUUUGAAAAUAAAGCUUCCUUUAGAUCAGGGAUGAGGAACCUACAGCCUCCCAGCUGCUGUUGGAGUCCUUUCAGUCCUGGCCAUCAUGCCCAGUGGUCAGAGAUGAUGGGAUCUGUUGUACAGCAGUAUUUGAAAGGGUCAUAGAUUCCCACCCUUGCUGCAGAUAAUGCCAUUUUCAAUUGUUCACAUCCCCUUGGGAAUAGCCUGGCAGCUUAUCUUCACACUGUUUCACUACUGACAUACCCACUCUCAUGAAAUGAGUAGCUCUGUGGUUUAACAGUUCUAUGUAUUUAUUAACUUUAAAUGUUGUGUAUAUCUGUACCAGAGACCAUUUGUAUUAUGUGCAUAUUAGAUUCUCAGCAGUCUUGAUGUAUAUUUGUAUAUUACCUCCUCAAUGCCGUGCAAUCACUUAUGGAUUUCUUUUUCUUGCACUGAUUAAAAUGCCUCUUGUAUGAUAAAUAAAUCCUUUCUUGUGGUGAUAUAGGGUUGAAUGUAUGUAAAUAAAAUUAAAAACAUUUAAAAUGUCAGCUAUACAAGCAGUGGCCUAAAAAAUAAUAAUAAUCAAGUCUGUACUUGUAGAAUAGAACAAUUAAGUUGCUGUGACAUCUCAAAAUGUUCCAGGGAUGCAAUGUCGGAGAAGGGAAAGUCUUUCCUUGUGAUAAUAUGAAAUUGCAAAAUUGGAUUUCUGUAGCUUUUUAUUUUUAUUGUUUCCGAGUGGAGAGCCUAUCUCUUUUAAUGUCUGUAAAUCUACCAUUAUUACUUUUCACUUUGAAGUAUAUUGUAUUGUUAGAUGUUUGUUUGAGCUGGUAACAUCCUUGCAACUGCUGCAAUGUUUCUGUUGGCAACUUGUAUAUUACUUUGUACACAAGUGUACUGGUAAGACUGUCAUUAAAAGUAGCUUCUACCAUUAAACUACCUAUAGCGGAAUAGUACUUCUGUAAUAAUACCAAUGUAUUACUACCAUACCAUAUUUUAUUUCUUCAGUGUAAUUAAACUGUUAUUUAUUCAAAGUAAAAUUAUGAUUAUUUGAAUCUG